GUUUUCUGAGCAAAGUAAAGAAAUAAGGUGGUCUGCAGAAGACCGGCAAGCCAGUGAUUCUUCCUCUGUUUUCUGAGCAAACAAAGUAAAGAAAUAAGGCAGUGUACAGAAGACCGGCAAGCCACUUAUGCUUCCUCUGUUGUUUGAGCAAAGAAAAGCAAAGUAAAGCAUAUAAAUCC